CAGUCCCUGUGGCGUGAGGAAAGGGCAGAGAUGUGGCAAUAAACUCAGAGCUGUGGCUAAACUGGAAACACAAUACAGUGGCAUGGUGUCCAGAGAACCUUGCUGAGACCCAGAUGUGCCAGGCCUUUUGUUCAAACAAUCUUACCAAAAACCAAAGUUCGCUAAGGCGGUGAAUACGAGCAGGCCUGUACCGAGGACACGGGCAGUGAUCUUCAUGGCAUCCCAGAGCUUCUCUUCCUGUGAGCAAGCAACAAGACUCCAGUGCAGCAGUUUCCAAACUCUGAUCCAUGGAUCGCUUGAGAUCUUGCCUCUAAAGGCAGAUAUAGGCUUGGCAGAUUCUUUAAGUGCAGAACAGGAUUGCUGCCUGCAAAGUAAAGAGACUGGGGCGCAUCAGCUGGAGACACGUUGUUCAGCGGGACCGCUCUGAGUCACAGCUUUUGGUGACAGUCGAGUGUUGUGGUCUCCUGCCACACUUCAAAGGUAACAGACCCUCCAGCACUUGGUGGUGGAGCUGCAGUCCACUGGAAGGGAAGAAAAGCUGGGAAAAUGUUGCUGUAGUGAUAAGAAAUGACCUCCUAGUUGCGCUAAAGUGAUCAGAGCAUGGAUGUGUCUGUCGCUUCUCUUAGAAGAUAAUUCAACACAUGCUGCCUUUAAAAGGUGACCUUGAGCCUUUACCUGCUUCUGCUGCUCAGCCAUGGUGGAAUAUCCAGUGUCUCUUUUCAUCUGAAAUAAGAUGUGAUCUAAGUAAGUGAACCUUGUACAGCUGGAAAGUGGAAUAACACACUGCUGACAACAGCAAAACCCCUCAACUUCGAGCUCACUUGCAAAACUGUAAAAUAUUUACCCUGUCCUGCUCCCUCCUUCAUGUUGGCCUUGGAGCAAAGCUGAGCUCUUGAGAAGAAAAAUGCCCCUAUUUCCUGAUGAGUUAGUCUUGUCUCAGAAGACUAAUAGGGAUGGAAGGGUAACACAGCAAAAAUGGGAGAUCAGCCAAAACUAAAGCUCUAGAUUGUGGCACUGGGGUGUUGUGGCACAGCUGCCUCCCUCCAUCUGGCCUGAGGACACAUGGCGUUCAGUGGGAACUCCCACCAUUCACAGAUCGCCAAGAAAACGAUGGAACGGGACGUGGGCUCUUCCGUAAUGACGGCGUGCUGUUAAACUAACACAAACUAAAACAAAAAUGUGACUACAACAAUAGGAGUUUGCGCCACGAAGAAUUAAUGCAGUAAAAAGUUACAGCUUGAGACUGCGGUUAUCUCCUAAAUAUUGGUACCAAACAGGGACAGCUCAGCGUAUCAGUCCUAAGAAUGUGAACGUCAUUCAUCUUUUGCUGCAGGUCUGUGCCCAGCGCAGGUUGGUAGUAACCUAAAAGUUGCUUCUGUUGGCUGGUGUGUGCCCUGCACUGGUGUCCUCACCACAAACCCUCCAUGUUUGUGCAAACAUUGCUGAGGUGUGCAAAGAGUCCGAUUUCCCCUCAGCAAAGAGGCUUUUCGAUCAGACCCUUCCUAAAAUAUAUUUAUCUUUGUUCAUUCUCCACAGUUUCUUAAUAGCCACUAUUAAUUACCUUUCAGGAUCGUACAAACCCGCACUGAUAGCUCCUCUAACAUCAAAGAAGAAUCUGAAAUUAGUGCACCUCACCUAAUUGUUAAUUACCUGUCGGGGAUUGGCUCAAGGAGCACAGACAUGAGUCCACCAAGCAACUGUACGAGCAGAGCCCAUUUUAGUUGACAUAAGUAGGCCUUAGUUAGCUUGUCUAUUAGGCCAUGGGAAAGGGGGGAACGGAAAAGUACUAACUAAGGCAGGGUCAGGAUAUUUUUGAAGAGAUAAGAGUCAGAAGAAUGUGGGAUGCGCAUAGCUAGCUAAACCCAAGUAGGUGGAGUAAGUAAAUGUGCUUAGCCUAUUAGAUAGAGACAAGUAUGCAUA